rnacentral:rRNA from 1 species
UACAGAGGUCCCAAGCGUUGUUCGGAUUUAUUGGGCGUAAAGGGUGCGUAGGCGGCGGUGUAAGUUGGGUGUGAAAUCCCGGGGCUCAACCUCGGAAUUGCAUUCAAUACUGCUUCGCUCGAGUACUGGAGAGGAGACUGGAAUUUACGGUGUAGCAGUGAAAUGCGUAGAUAUCGUAAGGAAGGCCGGUGGCGAAAGCGAGUCUCUGGACAGUUACUGACGCUGAUGCACGAAGGCCAGGGGAGCAAACGGG